rnacentral:rRNA from 1 species
AUUGAACGCUGGCGGCAGGCCUAACACAUGCAAGUCGAACGAGUGGCGGACGGGUGAGUAAUGUCUGGGACACUGCCUGAUGGAGGGGGAUAACUACUGGAAACGGUAGCUAAUACCGCAUACUAUCAUAUGUGCCCAUAUGGGAUUAGCUAGUUGGUGGGGUAACGGCUCACCAAGGCGACGCUCCCUAGCUGGUCUGAGAGGAUGACCAGCCACACUGGAACUGAGACACGGUCCAGACGCCUACGGGAGGCAGCAGUGGGGAAUAUUGCACAAUGGGCGCAAGCCUGAUGCAGCCAUGCCGCGUGUAUGAAGAAGGCCUUCGGGUUGUAAAGUACUUUCAGCGGGGAGGCGUUACCCGCAGAAGAAGCACCGGCUAACUCCGUGCCAGCAGCCGCGGUAAUAC